ACGGAGACGACAUAGGAGAGAAGAAAUUGAGAUACUUCCAUUGAGCAAUUGAGGAGAGGAGCGAUUCUGAAGGAAUUGAGCGUGAGCAGACGAAGAGAGAAAAGAAAGGAGAAAAUUCCAGCAAUCAUCUACUCCAAAUUUACUCUAUGAUUUGUAUGCGAGAUCGGGAUUUGAGGAAAAAUCAUUUCCAAGGAGAGGAGGAUGAUAUGACCACGUGUGCCGGACAUCAAUAAUCACUUCGACGACGUGAGCCGUGGAUAGAUUGGGGCCAAGGAUGAAAGAGAAGGCACUUCCACGAUACUACAAAGCUCGAUGGUCUCCCGAGGAUGAUAGGAAAGGAAAACACUCGGAUUUGAGGAUAAAUCAUUUCCAAGAAGGAGAGAAUGAUAUGAUCAUGGGAGCUGUGCGUCAAACGUUUCAGCCGCAGCUGGAUUCCAAAAGUAACCGGCCUAUUGAAAUGACGUCCAGAUGCUUAUCAAAGACCACAAAUGUCUUUGUCUUUGAAAGAGGAUCGCGUGAGUAUCUUGCACAGCUCAAUCGGAGUCCAGAGGAGAGAGUUAUGACCAAUUUACGAAAGCUCCGCGCUGAGGAGCGGAUGGUCCAGAGAGAACGCUCAACCGGGCGUUCUAUGAUCUAGAAAACACUCGGUCGGGCGUUUUUGUCCGAUUUUAGGAAUUGAGGUAGAAAGUUCACUCGGUCGGGCGUUAGCACUGUUUAGGCCGAUUUUAUCCAUUUUUUAGGCUUUUUCUUUGAUUUUCAACCCCACCUAUAUAUAGUCAUUUGUGAGACUUUAAACAAAAAGUUGAUUGAUGAUUGUUGAAUGUUAAAAGACUCCUAUGGAGCAUCUCUUUGUGAGAUUUUUUCCAA